UCUCUCCAGCACUUGGCGUUAUUAGUCUUUUUAGUUUUAAGCAUUCAGGUGAGUGUUUAGUGAUAUCUCACUGUGGUUUUAAUGUAUAUUCCCCUCGUGAUUAAUGAUAUUAGGAACCUUUUCAUAAGUUUAUUGGCUACUGGGAUAUCCUCUUUUGUGUAACACCUGUUCAAGUCUUUGGCCAUUUUUUUCUACUGGGUUCUCUGUUGCUUUUUAAAAAUUUUAAUUGACUUUAGUAGUUUUAUUUAUAGUCUGGUUAUGAGCCCCUUAUCAGUUACACGUGUUAAAGCUACCUUCUCCUGCUUUGGUUUGUCUUUUCAUUCUCUUCUACCUUCCAAAACAGAAGUUCUUAAUUUUGAUAAAUAAAGGUUCUUAAUUUUAAUGUAUUCAAAUUAAUCCUUCUUUUUCUAUAUAGUUUGUAGGUUUCCUUUCUUGGUCAUAAAUGCAUUCUCUUGUAGUAUUUUUUAAAAACUUAAAUUUUUUUUGUCUUUCACAUUUUUGGUCCUUUUUUUCAUUCAUAUUUAGCUCUAAAAUCCACCCAGAACUAAUUUUUGUGAAUGGUGUCAGAGGAACUUUCAAUUUUUUUCCUUAUGUAUGUCCAACUGACCCAGUACCUUUACUGAGAAGACUCUCUUUCCCCCUCUGCUAUUUAUACUGAGGUCACGCUUCUCUUGAGCUGACUUCUGUCAGUGACUGAGCACAGAGAGGGUACUAAAGCCUCAUUUCUGUCCCAUGUGGGGUUCCGCUAAUGGGGACCUCUGCUUGGAGGCUACCCAUUGGUCCACUGAGAUUUUUUCAGGGCUGCACUGUGGUCAGAGGUUCUUGCUACCCCGUCUUCCUUCCACCUCUCACAGGUGUCAGACCUGCACGGCGGUCCAAAGGCUCUCCCUCCUCCGCCGCUCCCUCCCUCUUUAUCCUCACAUGCAACUCCCCACUGGUCCUCUCUCCAGUCUAUAUCUUGCGUGUCCAAUCUGUUUCUUGGAGGACCUGAAAUGACACAGAGUGGGCAGAUCCUAGGGUAAAAGGGAGUCAGUGUUGUGUCAAGAUGACAAAAAGCUGGACUGAGUUCAGGGCAAAAGAGAGCAGAUGAAGAGACUGGGUUGAAGGAUUUUCUGAAAAAAGAGUGAAUGGAAACUGUGCCGACAAUGUGGAGGGCAAGGGAGGGGGUGGAGCUGAAGAUGACUAAGACUGAGACUAAAGAAAGCAUUGUGUCGUGGGGGUGGAGCUUAUUUGAGGGAACCAUCCAUGACAUUAGCUCCAUGCUAAUGAAGGGAUUUUUUUUGUGAUGAAAAAAUUAAUAGCAAUGUUAAAUUACAUUUGUAUUGAGUUUAACUGUGUUUACUGAGUGCAUUUGCACUUUAUCUCGUUUACUUACUCUUUAACAAUAGGGGAGAAGAGGGAAACAAGUAAGGGAGGUCCUAUUUGUCUCCCGUUUCCUGUGGUCUUUACUGUCAGUCCUCCCGAUCCAGACUCUUUCUUCACUUCUUUUUCCAAGGGCUGAAGAUUCAACUGAAGAAAUUGAUCAGGUUUCAAUCUAAAUUUGAGCUCUGGUUCUCUGCUUUCCUGUUGGCCCUGGAUUGAGAAUAGCCUCUCAUUUACCAGCCAUCUGCUCCCUCCAAGUCUCUCCUGCUGAGUGGUGUCUCCAAAUAUCUUCCCAGAGAGAGGACAGAAUCUCCAACAAAAUCUAUGAGGAAAAUAAUCCAUUAUGAUCUCCAUCAGGACCAUGCCUGGAUAGAAGAGGUAAGGCUGUCACCAGGGCUUGUAGAGACCUUGAGACAAAUUACACAAUUAAUUUUCUCUGCUUUCCACUCUCAACCCCUGGCCCUAACACCCCAGCAUUUUUAUCCUGGUGAGAUCAGGUCAAAAUGAAUGUCAAGGGCUAAUUGGAAGAGGAUGAGAAGUCAAACAAUGGACCCAUGGGACUGGAGGGGCUGAAUAGAAUUGAAUGGAGGCGUUAGCACUUGGUUUGCUCUGGGAAGUCUGGACUUUAGAGGCUGUGGGUGGAGGUGUGAGCCUCAGGCCCUUUCUUCUAUGCACCAGAUGGCAGAGCCACCUCACUGCACUCUGCCUGCUGCCUGGUCCAUGCACCUGGGUGGCGCUGGCCUGCUCUGUCUCACACCUCUGUCUGCCAGGAGGAGUAAUUAUAGUUGAAACAAAUGUAUUGCAAUACCUGGAUGGAUACAGCUCAAUUGACUCCUGACAGGUCUCUGGCGAAGAGAGCCUGCAGCAGCUGCGGU